ACGCACGCUGGCGGCGUGCUUCACACAUGCAAGUCGCACGGAAAGGCCCUGCUUUUGUGGGGUGCUCGAGUGGCGAACGGGUGAGUAACACGUGAGUAACCUGCCCUUGACUUUGGGAUAACUUCAGGAAACUGGGGCUAAUACCGGAUAGGAGCUCCUGCUGCAUGGUGGGGGUUGGAAAGUUUCGGCGGUUGGGGAUGGACUCGCGGCUUAUCAGCUUGUUGGUGGGGUAGUGGCUUACCAAGGCUUUGACGGGUAGCCGGCCUGAGAGGGUGACCGGCCACAUUGGGACUGAGAUACGGCCCAGACUCCUACGGGAGGCAGCAGUGGGGAAUAUUGCACAAUGGGCGGAAGCCUGAUGCAGCAACGCCGCGUGCGGGAUGACGGCCUUCGGGUUGUAAACCGCUUUCGCCUGAGACGAAGCGUGAGUGACGGUAAUGGGUAAAGAAGCACCGGCUAACUACGUG
rnacentral:rRNA from 1 species